rnacentral:lncRNA from 1 species
UGAUUUUAUUCAGUUUAUUCAGAGGACAUACAUACGUACAAGUAGUUCCCUAAGGCGAAGGCCUUCCAUUUGCUGUUGCUGGCCAUGUAAAAUAGCAUGAACCUGAACCUAACUGCGAUUGGAUGUCUAAACUGAAUUGUUGCAUUCCUAGACAUGGAAAUGUGGAUCAGUUUUAGUUCUGAAGAAUGUGCAUACUUCUGGUCCUAUGUAAUUCCAAUUUAUUUAGACAAGCAUGCCAAAAGUGUUGAAACCCAAGUUAGGGUUCAAAUUCGUGGGGUUGUGCUUGCUGCUAAACUGAUCCUGGACUUUUUGUUGGCUAUAUUAUAAUUAGCAAAUGGAAGUGGAGAGAUAAAGCAUAAAUACUUGAUAAACUUUUUUUGUUGGGGCGGGGGAUGGUUUAGUCCAUAGUUAAAAAAGGCACGCCUAAGCGAGCGCUUAAGCGCGCCUAGGCUCUAGGCGUUGACAAAACGCAUUGCGCAUAACUACGCUUAAUCUGUGCAUAACUGCGCAUAGGUUGCAAAACGCACAAUUAACACCUAGCGCUUUUUUUAAAUAUGGUUUAGGCACUUCAUGCAUUGUUGGUGUUGCAGACUUUUGCACUGCUACUAAAUGUCCUAUAUGUUAUUCUUUAGUAGGGAUAUUGGCAUAGAGAUACCGCAAUAAUAAAAACGAGAAUCCUCAUUACUCACAUAUAUAUUACUAUGUCCUUUUGUUUCCAUUGAGACCUAUUUUGUUUAUUCUUUUAGUUCCAAGGCAAAAUUCUCUGAUUUUUAGUAAUUCACAUUUAACAAGACAUAUGAAUGGAGGAUGGGAGGCAUUUAGAUGCAAGUCAGAAACUUCUUCUGCUAGCUUAUUCUAAGUUUAUUAUUUCCUUGCUCCCCUUUUCAUUGUAGAGAAUGAAAAGCAUCUUUCACGCUGCCAACGGGAUCUGGACCAAGAAGAGGAUCAGGAGGACGAAUACAGUGGACACUACUACUCAGCAAGAUACAGUUCAAACCCUGUAUCCUCCUGAUUGAUCUCCCUUCGCCCCUGUUUAAGAAUCAUGUUUCACCCAUUCAGGUAAAUCUAGCUGAAACAUUUUACGAACUCUACAAGUUGAAAGUUCAUACUUUUAGACGAGUAUACCAUUUUGGAGGUGUGUGUGUCAGUUCGCCGAUUAUUGACACCUCAUUCUAUGAAUUUUAGUGUUGUCUUCAGAAUUAUAGACACCUCAUUCUAUAAGGAGGCUGCCACCAAGAAGAGCGAGGUUGUGUCAAUGGACUCAGGUGCGUGCACUCGUUGGUGGUUUCAGUCUCAUAAUCUUUUCUUUCCAGUUGAAGAACAGGCGGUGGAUAUCUGUUACUCCAUUCCGUCUUUCCUGGUCUGUACAUUUUGAGAAGAUUGCAUACAUUGUAUUGAUGUGUCUUUUGUGUGAAACUUUGACUUAUUGGUCAACAAUAUAUGAGUUAUACGUCAUCAAAAAAUAUAUCAUUGGAAAGUUCAUUGAAAUACGCAUCCAAUGGCAUACUCUUUGUGGCGUAUAACUCACAUUUUGUUGGUAAAAUCAAUGCUCAAAGUUAUUUUCGGUCACAAAACAUUGAUAAAACUAUAAAUCACAUUUUAAUUCUUGUUGCGAUUACACCUAUUAGUUGCAGUUCAUAAGUUGUGUUGACUUGACUGCUGAUUUCUUUUCUUCUAUUAUUUUCCUUUAUGAACCUGGUGGCCAGCGACAAGUUGUAGAAAGAAACAAGGCUUAUGUUAGGCAAAGUUGAUUAGGUUGUACUACACACCGAGUGCCUCCAUAAGAAUCUAGAUAAAAUGCCAUAAAAGGUGAGAUUGGGCAUAGUCUUGAUAUAGUUUCGUUAAAAGAUAUUACAUUGAUUUUUUGGGUUUGGACAUACUUAUGAUUGUUUUCUUUCUAACUGGAUCUCAAUAUAUGCUUUUGUAGACUGUUCUAGAUAAGAUGAUGGCUAUCAAUGUGAGCGACUGAGCUUUUAUGUCCAGAAAAUGCUCACUAAUAAAAUCUGGAAUGUCUUAUGUUUCUCAUCUUUUCUCUUCAUUUGUAUGGUUAAAGUUUGGCUUCAAACCAACAAAUAGUUAAUAUUAAAUUAAGUUAUUUUCCCGCUCCCCUCUUCAGUUGGCAAACCCAUCAAGGAAUUGUUGUAAUGAAUAUAUUUUAUAUGGUUACAUCCACAAGAGGAAGAGAUCUUAAAUGCUAUAGCAUACAUCUAUAUUGAUGUAUAUGAGUGAGAGCGAGGACCGAGUAUGGGAAUCACUAGUAGAAAAAGGGGCUUUUAUCCCGGUUGGUAAGGCCCCUUUAGUCCCGGUUUUCGAACCGAGAUUAAAGGGUCGGUACUAAUGCCUCUCCCCUUUAGUCCCGGUUCUUAUAUGAACCGGGACUAAAGGGCGCGGCCACGUGGAGCUCCACCUUUAGUCCUGGUUGGUAAUUUUAUGAUUUUUUUGAAUUUUUUUUGAAUUUUCAAAUUUCUGAAUUAUUUUAACCUCUAGUGUGUAAUCACCACCUCUCAUCACUGCUCAAUUUAUCCUCUAAUCACCCCUCAUCAUUUCAAAUCAUCUAACUUCCCGAACGGUUACCCAUCCUCCCACUCCUCCAGCCUGAGCAUGCUUAACUUCCGGGUUCUAUUCUCUCUCGUUUCCAAGUCUGCACUUGUUGUUUUCCUGACAAUAGUAAGAUGUCAAUCCUAUUAACCUUCAUGAAUUUUGCUUGAGCAUGAAGUGACACAUUUCACUGUUUGAGUUUGAAACUAUUGUUUUAAAAAACAAUAAUUAUUUAGUAACACUAAUAUUUCUU